GUUCCUUCCUGACCACCCUUUCAGAGCCGACCUUUCACCCUGAUGGGGAAGGGCGGUGUGGGGAAGGGGGCUCUAAAUGGAAGCAGGGGCUCCAGUGGAGGCUAAGAUCAUCUGCAAACUUCGGGAACCCUGUUUAUUUAUCUCAGUCUCCCAGCUGGCAAUCAACAAACCCAUAUUACAGUGAUGAUCCGAGUUCCUGUCUCCUGCAGCAGGAAAGGGGGGUACAAUGGGAGACCGUCCCACCCACCUUUCAGGAAAAGAGGAAGGCUGGCCAGUUGGACCUGGUGACCAGCCCUGCGGCUUCCUAUGAAUUCUGUAACCUUCCUCAGCCUCCGUUUUGCCUUAAGAAGGGGACUAGCAGAAUGAGCUUCAUACUUUUGUAAGUGAUAAACAGUCCCAGAGGUGACGUGAUUUGCCCGAAGUCGGGCGACUUCCUGGAACUGGAAACCAAUCGGAAGCCUUGCACGUCGGCGCCCUUUCCGCUGCUAUCAGGUUACCUUCGGAGCCCGCGGACCCGCUUCUGAAAAGGAAUGACGAGGUCGCCGGGGGAGAGCCCCUGAAGGAGGAAUUAGUCGCAUUGGUAACAGCUAAUGGCAGGGGAUGAGGGAGUGCGCGCUGACGCCGUGUGCAGCCGGCUUCCCCCGCCCACCGCCGAACGUGAACAAUUUUCAAAUCGUUGUAGGAGAUCAUGAAUUUUAGUGGGUGCGUCUUCCAGCGGGGGCUGGGAACUUACCUGUUUUGUUUACCCAGCUGAGUGCCUAAAGCAGAGUAGGGUGCUAAUAAAAUACCUGCCUCGUGGAUGACUGUGAGGCCCCAUAUGCCCCAUUCCGUCCUAGAGAAGUGGGGAGACUGGGGGAGCCAACCCCACCUGGGAGGCACUUAAGCCCUUCCCAGUUUUUCUCAAUUAUGGCUUUGUAAUGAAUAUUCUUUGUUCAUAAAUCCUUGACUGCAUCUCUUGAUUAUUUCCUUAGGAUAUUUUCCUAGAAGGGGGAUUACUAUGAAGGGCACGCAGAUACUUAAAGCGCUGGCUUCACAGCCCCUCCCGCUGAGCAGGAAUGAGUCAGCCUCCCAGCAGGCUGGCCCAGCCUGGGCAUUAGCAGGCUUCAUUUUAUUUUGCACCCUCUCGAUAAAACAAAAAUAGUAUUUUGUUUGCAUCUCUUUGUCGACUAAUUAGAUGGAGGUGGAACAAAUGUUAAAGAAACCAUCUAAGAGAAAUCCUGCGUGAGCCAGGAGGCCGUGAGGUGAGGCACAUUCUGCCCAGUAAAGGGAAACCUAAGGGCACCUAUUGUUUGGAGCCAUUUGACCUGAAGUUGUCAACAUCUGAGCCUUGCCACAGCGGCUUCCCCUGAGCCAGCGAGGGGGAGCUGUGACUUAGGAGUUUCCCUCUGUUUGUUAUAUUCGUUUCCUAAUGAGCAGUUAAUGUUAUAAAACGAGUGAAAAACGAGGAUACACUUUUUUAAAUUGAAGUAUAGUCAGUUACAAUGUGUCAAUUUCUGAUGUGCAGCACAAUGUCCCGGUCAUGCAUGUACAUACAUUCAUUUUCAUAUUCUUUUUCAAUAAAGCUUAUUACAAGA